rnacentral:rRNA from 1 species
AGGGUUUGAUCCUGGCUCAGGAUGAACGCUGGCGGCGUGCCUAAUACAUGCAAGUCGAACGAGGUGCUUUUGUAGCAAUACGAGAGUAUCCUAGUGGCGAACGGGUGAGUAACGCGUUGGUGACCUGCCCCAAAGUGUGGGAUAACAGUCCGAAAGGAUUGCUAAUACCGCAUGUGGUCAUUGGGUUUAGAAACUAAUGACUAAAGCAGCAAUGCGCUUUGGGAGGGACCUGCGUCCCAUCAGCUAGUUGGUGAGGUAACGGCUCACCAAGGCGACGACGGGUAGGGGACCUGAGAGGGUGACCCCCCACAAUGGAACUGAAACACGGUCCAUACACCUACGGGUGGCAGCAGUAGGGAAUAUUGCUCAAUGGGCGAAAGCCUGAAGCAGCAACGCCGCGUGCGCGAUGAAGGUCUUCGGAUCGUAAAGCGCUUUUCUGCGAGAUGAGAAAGGACAGUAUCGUAGGAAUAAGUCUCGGCUAACUACGUGCCAGCAGCCGCGGUAACACGUAGGAGGCGAGCGUUAUCCGGAUUCACUGGGCGUAAAGCGCGUGCAGGCGGUUUGGUAAGUUGGGCGUGAAAGCUCCCGGCUCAACUGGGAGAGGUCGUUCAAUACUACCAGACUAGAGAGUAGAAGAGGAAGAUGGAAUUCCCGGUGUAGUGGUGAAAUGCGUAGAUAUCGGGAGGAACACCAGUGGCGAAGGCGAUCUUCUGGUCUAUUUCUGACGCUCAGACGCGACAGCUAGGGUAGUAAACGGGAUUAGAGACCCCGGUAAUCCUAGCCGUAAACGAUGUGAACUUGGCGUCGGUGGCUUAAACACCAUCGGUGCCGAAGCAAACGCGAUAAGUUC